GAUCAUGGCUCAGGAUGAACGCUAGCUACAGGCUUAACACAUGCAAGUCGAGGGGCAGCAUGAACUUAGCUUGCUAAGUUUGAUGGCGACCGGCGCACGGGUGAGUAACACGUAUCCAACCUGCCGAUGACUCGGGGAUAGCCUUUCGAAAGAAAGAUUAAUACCCGAUGGCAUAAUUCUUCCGCAUGGUAGAAUUAUUAAAGAAUUUCGGUCAUCGAUGGGGAUGCGUUCAA
rnacentral:rRNA from 1 species